UCCCCCUUUGAAAACCCUAGCCGCAUGGUCUCCUUCCUGACUCACCCAUUCCCUUUCACGCAAAAGGAAACCGAGAAUUCGCCAUCAUGCACACACAUCUCACCUAUAAAAAAAGUUAAAACAAAAUCCCUGAAUUCUCAUUUUUCUACAUCCGGAUCUGAAGAAGAAAAACGAAAAAAAAAGAUUAAAAAGGUUUUCUGAUUUCUGUUGUGUUACUUGGAGAAUUUAUGGGUUUCUCAUUUGUUUUUGGAUUGAAGUUGAGGUCGACAUUGCUGUUCUUCUGUUGUUUGCUAUCAAAAUGGGAUCUACUCACUUAUGGAUUAAGCUGUUGUUUGAACUUUGAAGCUGCAGAAAUUCAAGCACUGUUAGGCGUUAGUUGCAUGACAAACAUUUUUGUGUAGUUUGCUCACUUAUGGAUUAAUCAUUUUGAAUUGUGGGCGGAGGAAAGACAUAUGUAUUCUGGACUCGUCUGUAAUGUAGUUUGCUUUGGGAUGUAAUGGACUAUCUAUUGUAUUCUAUAGACUGGAAUGUAGUCUGCUGAGCAUAGGAAUUUUAGUUUGAGUCACAAUGGUCAGCAAACAACUAA